GAUCAUGGCUCAGAACGAACGCUGGCGGCAUGGAUUAGGCAUGCAAGUCGAACGGGUGCAGCAAUGCACCAGUGGCGCAAGGGUGAGGAACACGUGAGUAAUCUACCCUCAAGAUUGGGAUAGCUCCUGGAACGGGAAUUAAUACCGGAUGAAACAGUUUAUCCGCAUGGGUGAACUUUUAAAGCAGCAAUGCGCUUGAGGAGGAGCUCGCGUCCCAUUAGCUGGUUGGUGAGGUAACGGCCCACCAAGGCGAUGAUGGGUAGCUGGUCUGAGAGGACGAUCAGCCACAUUGGGACUGAGAAACUGCCCAGACUCCUACGGGAGGCUGCAGUCGAGAAUUUUGGGCAGUGAGCGAAAGCUUGACCCAAGCAAUGCCGCGUGCGGGAUGAAGGUCUUCGGAUUGUAAACCGCUGUUGAGAGGGACGAAAGAUGACGGUACCUCUAGAGGAAGCCACGGCUAACUACGUGCCAGCCGCCGC
rnacentral:rRNA from 1 species